rnacentral:rRNA from 1 species
AGGAAAUGACGGGCAGCGGACGUGGUAAUACGGAGUGGGCAAGCGUUGUACGGAAGCACGGGGCGUAAAGCGAGUGUAGGCGGCCUGCGCAGUCUGGUGUGACAGCCCGGGGCGCACCCCCGGAAGUGCAUUGGAUACGGGAAGGCUGGAGUACCGGAGAGGAGGGUGGAAUUCCGGGUGUAGCGGUGAAAUGCGUAGAUAUCAGGAGGAACACCGGUGGCGAAGGCGGCCCUCUGGACGGAUACUGACGCUGAGACGCGACAGCGUGGGGAGCAAACAGGAUUAGAUACCCCGGUAGUC